rnacentral:rRNA from 1 species
GAUGAACGCUGACAGAAUGCUUAACACAUGCAAGUCAACUUGAACUUCGGUUUGGGUGGCGGACGGGUGAGUAACGCGUAAAGAACUUGCCUCACAGAUAGGGACAACAUUUGGAAACGAAUGCUAAUACCUGAUAUUAUGAUUUUAGGGCAUCCUAGGAUUAUGAAAGCUAUAUGCGCUGUGAGAGAGCUUUGCGUCCCAUUAGCUAGUUGGAGAGGUAACGGCCCACCAAGGCGAUGAUGGGUAGCCGGCCUGAGAGGGUGAUCGGCCACAAGGGGACUGAGACACGGCCCUUACUCCUACGGGAGGCAACAGUGGGGAAUAUUGGACAAUGGACCAAGAGUCUGAUCCAGCAAUUCUGUGUGCACGAUGAAGUUUUUCGGAAUGUAAAGUGCUUUCAGUUGGGAAGAAAAAAAUGACGGUACCAACAGAAGAAGUGACGGCUAAAUACGUG